rnacentral:lncRNA from 1 species
UGGUAUGGUCUUCGGCUCCGUCGGUUACGCCUGCAUCCGGUUCUUUGCUUUCUUCUUCGGCUAAUCUGAAUUCGGUUCUGUUCUCGGCUUCUCGCCGUUGAGGUGUCUGGACUUUGGAAGCUUCUUCUCGCUUUCUUUUAUCAUUAGUACUGUACGCUCUUUUGAGAUUUGAGCCAGUCGAGCACAUGUCCAGAUAUUUGAUUCCUUACUUCCUCCCUGCCACUGGAACAUCAUCAUAGCCCCAAGGAGAUAAAUAAAUAAAUAAAUCCAAGUGUACCUUUUCUUCUUCUUCCUGGAAUAGAUUGUCUUUUUUUUUUUUUUGAAACAGAAUCCUGGAGUAGAAUUCAAAUCACAGGGUAACUAAGUACUAGUAACUGGCGUCUCUUUCACGUAGGUUCUUCAGCCGAAAGUGGUGUUGGUUCUUCAACCGUCCUCUUCGUGUCGACAUGGUUCCGUUUUUAGCCCGGGACAGAAUGUGGGUGACAAUGAAGUGAACCUACUUACAUCUGUGGAAGAAAACAACGGUGUCUGCGCUCUCAACCGUGCAACAUAUAUAUAGGGAAACAAGUUGCAAUCAUGCACGCGCACUCGUGAUAAAAUCGUACGUACUCGCUCGUCGUGUCGUUGUGAGGGUGACUUGUACUAGCGCUGUACCGACCUGACACAGUUUGUUCUCCAAGUCUAGCCAUUUGAAGUCCGCAGGAUUUCUCGUGCUCUUCACAAGUUUAUUUACUGUGCGGUAACCGUACUGCAUUUUGCCAACUAUACUUAGCAUACCCUCAAAAAAAAACUAUACUUAGCAUGCCGUUAACGCUGUGGCACGUGUCGCAGCGCCGCAGUCCUUCAUCGGCAUCAACUACGGCGACAUCGCCGACAACCUGCCGCCGCCGGCGUCGACGGCGCGGCUCCUCAAGUCCACCACCAUCGGCAAGGUGCGCCUCUACAGGACCGACCCAGCCGUGGUGGCCGCCUUCGCCGGGACCAGCAUCUCCCUGCUCCUCGGCGCCGCCAACGCCGACAUCCCCUCCUUCGCGUCCUCGCCGUCGGCCGCGGCCGCCUGGGUCGCCGCGCACCUCCCGUCCUCCUCGUCGCCCGCCGUCAACGGCAUCUCCGUCGGCAACGAGGUGCUCUACUCGGGCGACGCCGCGCUCAUCUCGCAGCUGGUCCCGGCGCUGCAGAACAUCUACGACGCGCUGCCGGCCAACUCCGGCAUCAAGGUGUCCACCGUGAACGCCAUGGACGUGCUGGCGUCGUCGGACCCGCCGUCCUCCGGCGCGUUCAAGCCGGAGCUGUCCGCCGCGUUGGACCCGCUGCUGGCCUUCCUCAGCAAGACCGGCUCGCCGUUCCUGGUGAACCCGUACCCCUACUUCGCGUACCAGGACGACCCGCGGCCGGACACGCUGGCCUUCUGCCUCUUCCAGCCCAACGCCGGGCGGCCGGACGCCGGGUCCGGGCUCACCUACACCAGCAUGUUCGACGCGCAGGUGGACGCCGUGCGCGCCGCGCUGGACGCCAAGGGGUACAAGGACGUGGAGGUGGUGGUGGCCGAGACCGGGUGGCCGCACAGCGGCGGCGCCGACGAGGCCGGCGCCUCCGUGGAGAACGCGCGCGCCUUCGUCUCCAACCUCGUCUCCCACCUCCGGUCCAUGGUCGGCACGCCGCGGAUGCCCGGCAAGUCCGUCGACACCUACCUCUUCGCCGUGUACGACGAGGACCUCAAGCCCGGGAAGGCGUCGGAGAAGUCCUUCGGGCUGUUCCAGACCACGCUCACCGAGACGUACCCGACGGGGCUGAUGAGGAACGGCACCGCGGGCCUGGCGCCGGCGCCGGCACCGACCUUGCGGCCGGCGAGCCCCCCGCCGGCGAUACCGCAGGUGGGUCACCCAUCCAUCACUCUGCCCUUGGCUCUUGUUUGCUUCCGAAGUUUCGACUGUGAACUUACGGUGGAGCUCUCGUCUCGCUUCUGUUGGUGCAGGUGACGCCGGUGCAGCCACAGCCAAGCGCGUCGGCAGCGGCGACGUCGCCGCCUCGUCAUGCUCGUAGUGCUGCUGAAUCGCCUCGCGCCGUGCCGGCGCUCCAUGUGUUUGCUUGUUUCUUGUUCAUGUCUCUGUUGGUCUGACCUUCCAUUUAUGUCUGCAAUCUCUGGAGUGUGUGUUGACGCAAGCAACUUGUGUUCUUCUGUUAUGUGGUUUUGCAUUGUCAAUAGUGCAACUCAGAUACGGUGUGAACAAAUGUAUUUGUUGGCGUAUGGACACACUGACAGUCAUCAUAUCAUAAAAAGAAUGAUCAGAUGAUCAGCCGAAGCAUACAUAAGUAUUUUGUUGGCGUACAAAUAACAAAGAUACCAAGCAAGUGCAAGGAAAACAUACACUGGGCAAUGCAACAGAAACAACAAUCUGCAGGCAAAACAAUGGGCUUCAGAAGAAGUCAACAACCGAACAAGAGCUACAACAACUCUCAGCACACCACCAUCUUAGAAGAAAAAAGAACAAUGCAAAGGCAGCAUCGAACAAACAAACAGCCACACACACACACAAAAAAGGAAGAUAUCAUCGGAUUUAU